CGCGGCCUAUCAGCUUGUUGGUGAGGUAACGGCUCACCAAGGCGAUGACGGGUAGCUGGUCUGAGAGGACGAUCAGCCACACUGGGACUGAGACACGGCCCAGACUCCUACGGGAGGCAGCAGCAGGGAAUCUUGCACAAUGGACGAAAGUCUGAUGCAGCGACGCCGCGUGGGGGAUGAAGGCCCUAGGGUCGUAAACCCCUUUCAGUGGGGACGAAACUGACGGUACCCACAGAAGAAGGUCCGGCCAACUACGUGCCAGCAGCCGCGGUAAGACGUAGGGACCGAGCGUUGUCCGGAAUUAUUGGGCGUAAAGAGCUCGUAGGCGGUUGCGUAAGUCGGAUGUGAAAACUCGAGGCUCAACCUCGAGACGCCUUCCGAUACUGCGCUGACUUGAAUCCAGUAGGGGAGUGUGGAAUUCCUGGUGUAGCGGUGAAAUGCGCAGAUAUCAGGAGGAACACCUAUGGCGAAGGCAGCACUCUGGGCUGGUAUUGACGCUGAGGAGCGAAAGCAUGGGUAGCAAACAGGAUUAGAUACCCUGGUAGUCCAUGCCGUAAACGGUGGGCACUAGGUGUGGGGACUUUCAACGGUUUCCGUGCCGAAGCUAACGCAUUAAGUGCCCCGCCUGGGGAGUACGG
rnacentral:rRNA from 1 species